CUCAAGUGCCUUUUUUUUUAAGAUCACUAUAUAUGGCUCUGAUGUUGCCUCAUUGGAAAGGGGUUGCUCAGAACAUCACACAAACACGAGUACUCAUUGGACUUUUAUUUGCCACAUGAACAGACUUCAGGACUGUAUUAGUAUUUUACUAUUAUUAUUGUUUUUUGUUUUGUUUUUGUUUCUUUUCUUCCUCUGACUGUAAAGGUUUCCGUUCGAUGCGGUAAAGUCAAUGUCGUGAGGAGAACCCGGAACCAACAUUAUGGCGUCCGUUGGCCCGGACGGAUUUUGUUGUCGUACACAAAACAAAUCGGGCUGAAUUCAGCUGCACGUUUGGACGCGGAACUUACAAUUUUUGGCAAAAAAGACUCAUAAAACCAUGGCUGUUUCUCUCACUUGACGCUGGAAUUGAUGUUGGGGAUCGAGGAGGUUUUGAGCGGACACGCAGCCGACAGACGCAAAGUUGUGGGACACGUGGACGGCUCUGCGCUACGAUGACGAGGACAACCUGCUUUUGGACAGCUUACAUGUUGGAUGACGAUGGUCUCCUUGUCGCUGCCUGGUGAAGUCGUCGGCCAGUGGGAAGAGAUUGCAGACCUAAGACAAAAUGUCAACUUGUGCUGCAAAUGUUUUUUGACAUGGAGGUGAAACUCACCAGUGACGAAAAGGGUGUGAAAUUUGUUUUCUGGGACUGUCAAGUGCUCGCACAUCUGCAUUGCCAGGACUCUGACCAUGUUCCCCAGCACCUGUGGAAAAACAACAACAAAUUUGGUAGAAGGAAAGACUGGAGUCAAGAGCAAAGAGCUUACCGUUAAAAGAGUCAACUUCAGUGUUGGAUGACAGGUCCACUUCACCAGGCAGUCACUGACGACAGUUUCCUCGUCACCGGUCAUCGUGAGGAGAGCAUGGACCGGUGUGCCGUGACCCUGGAAAACAAAGACAUCCGUGAAUCAAACCUUUAUACCAAACAUGUUUUUUUUGUAGCAAAUUGUUUGCAAUGAAACUUACAGGGAAAGGAUGUGCAACUUGUUUUUUCUGCAACUGAGACCUUGCAGGAAGUUGAAGAUGUUCCUCAGCCUGUGGAAGAACAACAACACGUUUUGGGCAGAGAAAAGUCACAAUUGUGGAGACCAUUGUGAGCGUACCAAAGUUGGCUCCUCAAAUUCAUCCCCCACUUUUGGUUGUCAUCACCUGGAUGUUGUCCUUCAGCUGAGGAAGAGGAGCGCACCAGGAUGAGGAGAGGAAGGCCUGGACCGGAAGCCAGCCUGCAUGCAGGGUCAAAACCAAAAAGCAGGUGAGUGAUCUUCAAAACUUACUUUCAGCUUUGGUUUGCAGCUUAUAUCAUCUCAGCAUGGUGGACAGGAAGUUGAUCAUGAUGCCAUUUCCCCCACCACAACAAAUCAAGUACUUGCAUUCAUCAAGUGUCUCUGCAACAGAUCAAGUCAGACCUUAACGAAGGAGAUUGCUUCAUGAGUCAGUCCAAGGUGCAUGGUGAUGCUGGACUCAGGUUCUCCAAGACGGGCGACAUUUCUUUGACCAGUUGAAAUUGACUGUGCAAAACAAGACAAGUCUUAUUUUAUUAAAAUACCAUUGAAGCUGAAAUAAAUUUAUCAUGAAUAUGCAUACUUUGUUCUCAUUGAGGACCCCUCGUGCAUCUUGUUCCUCUCGCUGCUCUGGAUGGCUGUCAAGACGUGAUGUGAGGGGUGGUUGCUGCAAGUCAUCUCAGGUGUCCCUUACCCUCCUUCAGAAGAUUACCUUUAACACAGAUGGACAUGCAGGAGGAAAAUGGAAAACUGAGGCCAGAAUUUCUAAAAGACAUCUGUUAAGUUUUGCCAUACAGCACAUUUGACAAGAGAAGAAACCCACCAGCAAUGAAGAGGAUGUGACUUGUUGCUGCCUGGGACUUCGUCCAAGUGCUCACAUUGCUGCAUUCACAGGAAGCUGAGCAUGAAGGAAGGAAAAACAUUUGAUCAACAUUGUGAGGAUUGUGACCUGUAUUCACAGAGUGGACUGUAAAGUGUGGACACCAGUGCAAACCAUCAAACUUGUCCCCAACUUCUCUGGCUGCUCCAGUUUGGCUUCUGCACCUUCUGAUGUGCUCUUCCAGCUGAGGAAGAAGACAUGCAGACAGGUGCAUGAUCUUGGGGGGGCCAGGGUGCUUCUCCACGAUGGCUCUUGUUCUGGAAGCUGCCCUGCACGCAGAGUCAAAAAAACAAAAACAGCGUGUCAAACCCAGCAGACGUGGCGACAGGCGAGCCUCGUACAUCUUGUUCCUCUCGCAGCUCUGCAUGACGUCAACACUGCACACAAAAAGCAGGAUGUGAGGAGUGGUUGCUGCAAGUCACCCUCCUUCAGAAGAUUGCCUUGAACACAGAUGAGCAUGCAGUAGGAAAAUAGUCAACUGAGGCCAGAAUUUCUAAAACAAAGACAUCUGUUACGUUUUGCCAUACAGCACAUUUGACAAGAGAUGAAACCCACCAGCAAUGAAGAGGAUGUGACUUGUUUCUCUCUGGGACUUUGUCCAAGCGCUCACAGGAAGGAAAAACAUUUGAACAACAUUGUGAUGAUUGUUCAGUGUAUUCACAGAGUGGACUGUCAAGUGUGUGUGGACACCAGUGCAAACAUCUCAAACUUGUCCAACUCCUCAGGCUGCUCCACAGUUUGGUUUCAGCAUCUUCUGAUGUGGUCAUUCAGCUGAAUUAAAAUAAGUUGCACUUGAGCCGACUGAAGCCGGAAUGACAGUUUCCUCAUUGCUGAUGACCAUCACAAUCAAGACGAGCGCGUCGACCAAUGUGUCGUGACCUCCCUGAAGAAGCCAAAAAGACAUCGCAGGUGCAGGAUCUUGAGGGCCAAGGUGGUUCUCUGCCACAAUGGAACUUGUCCUGGAAGCCACCCUGCAUGCAGACCUCGUACACGAUCUUGUUACUCACGCAGCGCUGGAUGAAGUCAAAAGGAUGUCAGUCUUUGACCCAGAUCAAGUCAGACCUUGAAGCAGGAAAUCUGCUUCACUCGUCGGUUCAAGCCGGGUUCAGGUUCUCCAGGGCCAAGAUGCUUUUGCACCACCUAGUGGACAUGAGCGAAGAGUAGUGAAGAGUGUUCAAACCCAGCGGCGCUUCAAGUGGAGGUUGUCAUAACUGCACACAGAAGCAGGAUGUAAGGAAUGUUUGCUGCAAAGGCACAAUCUUUUACCAUCACCAUUGGAGAUGAAUGCAUUUUGGGUGUUGUGACAUGUUCCCACCUUAAUGAUGUCAUCACAGGAAUAAAUCUGUUAGCUUUUG